AAGUCGUAACAAGGUAUCCGUAGGUGAACCUGCGGAUGGAUCAUUAAGAAGUACUUUUAGCUCUUUUAGCCAAAAGAGAUAAUCCUUUGCCGAAAGGUGAAAGGUCUUUAACCGAUGUGGUCUAAUAGAACUGUGUUAGUUGGGCAGCAAUUGAUCGUGCGUGCUUCAUGCAUGUGUGAUUGAUUCGCCCGACAUUAUUAUACUAAACCAUAAUACUCUUUAUACAUUACCGACUGAUGUUGCCUUGCGACUCUUUGUGAAUCAUACAUCCGUGUGAUGAUCAAUGGUAACAAGUAAAACAAUUGUAAUCUAUAAUACAACUGCUAGCAACGGAUCACUCGGCUCUCA
rnacentral:misc_RNA from 1 species